rnacentral:rRNA from 1 species
UUACGGCCAUAUCACGUUGAAACACCGCAUCUCAUACCAUCAUCGAAGUUAAGCAACGUCGAGCCUGGUCAGUACCUAGAUGGGUGACCCCUUGGGAAUACCAGGUGCUGUAAG